rnacentral:tRNA from 1 species
GAGCGUGUAGCUUAGUUGGCAGAGCAACGGGCCUUUAACCCGUAGGUCGUGGGUUCAACUCCCACUACGCUCA